UAAGGAAGGAAUUUCAGAGACUUGAGAUGC
rnacentral:piRNA from 1 species